rnacentral:rRNA from 1 species
ACCCGCUGAACUUAAGCAUAUCAAUAAGCGGAGGAAAAGAAACCAACAGGGAUUGCCCUAGUAACGGCGAGUGAAGCGGCAACAGCUCAAAUUUGAAAUCUGGCCCCGGCCCGAGUUGUAAUUUGCAGAGGAAGCUUCUGGCACGGCACCUUCCGAGUCCCCUGGAAUGGGGCGCCAUAGAGGGUGAGAGCCCCGUAUGGUCGGCUGCCUAGCCUGUGUGAAGCUCCUUCGACGAGUCGAGUAGUUUGGGAAUGCUGCUCAAAAUGGGAGGUAAAUUCCUUCUAAAGCUAAAUAUUGGCCAGAGACCGAUAGCGCACAAGUAGAGUGAUCGAAAGAUGAAAAGCACUUUGAAAAGAGGGUUAAACAGCACGUGAAAUUGUUGAAAGGGAAGCGCUUGUGACCAGACUUGCGCCGGGCUGAUCAUCCGGUGUUCUCACCGGUGCACUCUGCCCGGCUCAGGCCAGCAUCGGUUCUAGCGGGGGGAUAAAGGCCCCGGGAAUGUAGCUCCCUCGGGAGUGUUAUAGCCCGGGGCGUAAUGCCCCCGCCGGGACCGAGGACCGCGCUUCGGCAAGGAUGCUGGCGUAAUGGUCAU